GAUGAACGCUGGCGGCGUGCCUAAUACAUGCAAGUCGAGCGAACAGAUAAGGAGCUUGCUCCUUUGACGUUAGCGGCGGACGGGUGAGUAACACGUGGGUAACCUACCUAUAAGACUGGGAUAACUUCGGGAAACCGGAGCUAAUACCGGAUAAUAUUUCGAACCGCAUGGUUCGAUAGUGGAACAUGGUUUUGCUAUCACUUAUAGAUGGACCCGCGCCGUAUUAGCUAGUUGGUAAGGUAACGGCUUACCAAGGCGACGAUACGUAGCCGACCUGAGAGGGUGAUCGGCCACACUGGAACUGAGACACGGUCCAGACUCCUACGGGAGGCAGCAGUAGGGAAUCUUCCGCAAUGGGCGAAAGCCUGACGGAGCAACGCCGCGUGAGUGAUGAAGGUCUUCGGAUCGUAAAACUCUGUUAUUAGGGAAGAACAUACGUGUAAGUAACUGUGCACGUCUUGACGGUACCUAAUCAGAAAGCCACGGCUAACUACGUG
rnacentral:rRNA from 1 species